rnacentral:sRNA from 1 species
GCUGGGCAUGGUGGCACAGGCCUGUAAUCCCAGCAGCUCAGGAGGCUGAGGCAGGAGGAUUGCAAGUUCAAAGCCAGCCUCAGCAAAAGCGAAGCACUAAGCAACUUAGUGAGACCCUAUCUCUA